rnacentral:rRNA from 1 species
UGGUGGAGUGAUUUGUCUGGUUAAUUCCGUUGACGAACGAGACCUCAGCCUGCUAAAUAGAUAGUCGAAGAGUUCUCUCUUCGUGCUAGACUUCUUAGAGGGACAUUCGGUAUACAGCCGAAGGAAGUUUGAGGCAAUAACA